rnacentral:rRNA from 1 species
UUUGAACGCUGGCGGCAGGCCUAACACAUGCAAGUCGAGCGGAUGAAGGGAGCUUGCUCUCUGAUUCAGCGGCGGACGGGUGAGUAAUGCCUAGGAAUCUGCCUGAUAGUGGGGGACAACGUUUCGAAAGGAACGCUAAUACCGCAUACGUCCUACGGGAGAAAGCAGGGGACCUUCGGGCCUUGCGCUAUCAGAUGAGCCUAGGUCGGAUUAGCUAGUUGGUGAGGUAAUGGCUCACCAAGGCGACGAUCCGUAACUGGUCUGAGAGGAUGAUCAGUCACACUGGAACUGAGACACGGUCCAGACUCCUACGGGAGGCAGCAGUGGGGAAUAUUGGACAAUGGGCGAAAGCCUGAUCCAGCCAUGCCGCGUGUGUGAAGAAGGUCUUCGGAUUGUAAAGCACUUUAAGUUGGGAGGAAGGGCAUUAACCUAAUACGUUAGUGUUUUGACGUUACCGACAGAAUAAGCACCGGCUAACUUCGUGCCAGCACG